ensembl:lncRNA
AGUAAAAUGGAGUUUUAUUUUCCCCAAAUCAAUAUGUCCAUUUUUGUGUUUGUCAAAGAUUAAUGUUCCUUCUUCAGAGUUUCAAGCAACUGAGCUGUUGCUUGAAAUCAGAGGGCUUUAUCAUCUGAUCAAAAUGAAACCUCUUUUUCCAUUGGUCCCGUGGUCAAACAUUACUGGAAGAUCCUACUUCUGCUCAGCAAUCAAAAAGCACUAGAGGUAAGAAGGAUGAUAAACACAAAACACACAACACAUGGUCAAUGCCCUAAUGAUCCUUUCUAAGUACUAAAUCACUAAACAUUUUAAUCAAAAUUUCACUGAAAACAAUCCAUUAAUUGGCAACAUAACAGAUUUACUAAUAGGUCUCUUCUUGCAGAGCACCAGUAGUGGACAGCAAUCUCCAUCUCUACAAAGUCAAUCCAUUACCGGAGCAGCAGCAAACACUCCCAACAUCAAUACACACAAGACACAGACCACCUCCAUGACCAACGUCCAAAAAAACACCUCAAGUACCCCAGCUUCAACUCCCCACCAUGAGAGAGAGUCCACUGCAGGCUCCUGUGUGUCUACUCACGCCGUGAGCUGUCGGACGGUAGAGUCGGCCCCGGUGCCCUGUGAGGCCCGUGCUUGUGUUCAGACGGUGAUGAAGGAGAGCGGUGAUGCUUUAGUGUCACUGUCCAGUCUCUGGGUUUGCCUGGCUCCAUGCAGGAAUUCCUGGCAGCUGUGGAAGAUAACGCAGCAGAUGGGCCGCUUGUCUGCAUGUGACAUUUCCCAAUUGGCAAGUGAGCAGCGUAGAGAUAUGAGCCGUGUGGGGAAACAUGUCCAGGAGGUAAGAGAAACUGUUGAGCUGCUGAAAAAGAAGAUGAAAGAGACAGAGAUGGAGUGAGAGAAGCUAAGAAAACAGCUAUCAGAGACGGUCAAAAGAGAGAAGGAGGAGAGGAGGAAGAUGGAGGAGGAGUGAGAGCACAGAAUGCAGGAGGUGAAAUCCAGGAGAGAGGAAGCAGUAAGGAGACUAAAGGAGGAGAAGGAGGAGUUAAAGAGAGGUGGGAGGUUCUUUAAAAGCCUUUAACUCGUAUGUAAAAAUUAUUAUAUCAUAGUUAAUACACAAAGACAGAUGUGCAAGGUUUGGUAAUGUGAAUAUCAAAACAACAAUAUAAACUAAGUAAUAAUCAUUUUAAUUUACAGGUGUGACAUUGUUAGAGGACCAAAAUUCUGAACUCACAGCAGAACUGAAUUUGCAGACAGAAGCAAAACAGAGGCUUGGUGAGCAGAACAUCAUCAAGCACUGGCCACUGGAAUGAAGUGGAAUUAAAUGCCAUAAAAAGCUUUGAUCUGGACAGCAUUAAAACUGCAUAAAUGUUCAUGUAAAUGCAAUAAUCUGUCUUUCUCACAGCAAUUAGUAAACAUAUGGAAUAAACUAGAAAGAGUUUUACA